UGUUUUUCAAAAACCGCGCGCAUUUUUCAGUCAGUCACGUCACGUGCACUCCGCUCAUCCACACUGGACCGCGCUCACUCACUCGCUGAUGGGAUCACAGCAGGAUUAACGUUAUUCGCGAGACACGACGCGGUCAUGGUAAAAAAUACAGUGCAAAGGCAGAGAGUGAAGGUGUGGUGGUAUUGGCAGCAAGAAGGCUGCAUAAUAUGGGUCUGAAAUGAAGUACCGGAACAUUAUCAGUCAUUCAAGCUAUGAUAUCCUGGCAGAUCUACUUCCUGAAAAGAAGACUCAGCAGAUCUUUUCAAGACACUCUAGAUGGAGCGCGGAGAGACCGGACAGUUCCCACAGUGCUAGUUUUUCAGCACCCACACCCCAAACACAAAUUCAUAUAGAAGUUUUCAAUAAUAAAAUGUUCAUAUGAUAGUUUAUAUUUAGCUAUGAAGCAAUAGUUUAUUGUCAUAAAUAUUAAACUAAAUAUUAAAGUCCUUCUGUAGUGAAAAUCAAGUUUUUAUGCUGUUUUUUUUUUCUUUGUGGCAUUAAAUAUUGCUACAUCACAAUCCAAUAACCAAUCACAUCUAAG